rnacentral:lncRNA from 1 species
AGUCAAGGCACCUGUCUCAUUUCCAACACCUGUCCUGUAAUUAACUUGCAGUGUGAUAUUUGGGGGAAAUAAUGUGAAGCUGGACAUGAAUUCAUAGUUUGUAGAUGAAGAAUCACACUGCGCCUCCUCCCCCGACCCGCCGCCGAAAUACCCCAUCACAUGUACCAAGAGAAAUGAAGUAAUAAAUAAGAGGUAGGCUUUUGGACACAAAACACUGCACAUCAUUUUAAUGUGUAACAUCAAACUGGUUCCCCUUUAAGGUUUUUGGCAACUCUCAAGAUUCUAAAACUUCUCGCCCAGUUCAGGCUGUGAUAGUUUUGCCUCAAGGACACGCAGAAUGGUCAGUAUGACUGCCUUUGGUUUGAAGACAGUCUCGUAAUCACUAUUCCUCAAUUCAGCUUGUUGGAAAAAAUUAUUUUUACCAAAUGUACAGCUAGGCAUCACAGGAGGUUUUUUUGUUUUGUUUUCUUUGCUUUUUAGGAGGUUCCCAGGCUUUUCUAGAAAUCCCAGGAGUGUAUAUCCCUGUAUGCAAUGUAGCAGCCAAAGGGGAAUGCUUGCCAGAGGCUUCUUAGGUUGCACAGACCUCAAGUUCAGAUCUUGCCAUGCUUUUGUUUGGCCAAAGAAUAAUCCCAGCAGGUGAAUUUUAGAGUUCAGAAUGCGAGAAAUACAAAAACUGGUAAGCAGACUCAACAGACUCAAAUUACAUCUUCAGGAUACAACACACAUCACUGCUUCAUGUCUACCUAUCUGAAUCCAACUUGUUGCCCAGCACAGGGCAAAUCAAAGCAAAAGAAACAGUUCUCAAACCUACAUCCGUCAGAUCCCCUGCAAACCAGCCAAAUGUCAUCUUUUAUAUGCCAUUCCGCCCAGCAGUGCACAGGCCUGAGAAAACUCACUUCUGCAAACAGUUAAAUAAGCCCCUUAACAAAUUCAAAUCAGCAACUUAAUUCUAGAAGGUGUAUUUUUAAAACACACAUAUACAGUGUUUAAAAUGAAGGAAAAGAGUUAGUGUUGUUAGGAAAUAUGACGACUGAUUAUAUAUUUUAAAUCAUUCAUUUAAACAGAAUUACAUCAACGUAGCUGAAAAGGGAGCAAAAAAUGCUAGAUCAUCAUUUCCUUUUUACUUCUCCUAUUUGACAAAAAAAAAAAAAAAACAGAAAAUAAUGGCAAAAAGGCAAUCUUUCUUAUUAUUCUACUCAAUGGCUAAUAAAUAAUUAUUCUCCCAUACAGAAAACCAGAAAUAAACAAGUCAGAAAUACUGAGAAAAGUAGUGUUUUGUUUGUUUGUUUUUUAGGAUGCUGUUUACUAUUUCUCAAGGGUUGGGUGGGAAGGGCCAGGUGGGGAAAGAGAGGGAAAAGAAAAUCAUUCAUUUUAUGUAUUUGGUAUUUAAUUUCCUUUCUGGAUUGAACUGAGAUCUGAUCUCAUGAAUCUAAAUGCUGCCACAUGGCCCAGUUCCUAAUGAUUGGUCUAUUACACUAUAGUUGGAUUUAUUUAAACAAUUAAAUGGCUUGUACAAAACAGAAGGCAUACCUGCCUCCCAGUAGAUCAAAUGCACAAAUUCCCUUAGGGGAUGAAUAUAGGACAGGAAUACAAAGAAGUGUGCCUAACAAUGGUAAAAAUGUCAGGAAACAGAAAAUGUCAAAUCCCCAGGGGAAAAACGAACUCCAGCUUUGGCUGGAGCACAGGCACCACUUUUUUGUGUGAUGAAUUUGUAGUCCACAUCUCCCCUGCGGGAAAACAACUGCUUCGACUAAUCAAAGGGUAGUGUUUGGUGGAUUUUCUUUUUUCAAAGUUCAAAACAAAAGCAAUAGCAUCAACAUAGCUUUCAUGUCAUUGUUGGCAGGAAAUUUAACUCUUCUCAGGAUAACUUUUCUUUGGGGGGUGGGGGGGAGAAACCGAACCAGAAAUGAGAGUUGCACAUUUCUGAGUUCCUCUUUCUGAUUCCAAUUUCCUGCCUGGUAGGCUGGAAGCUACAGAAAUCUGGAGGACAAAUGUAACUGUUAAUUAUAUAUUCAAGACAUCAUCCGAUUUUGCUGAUGGGUUCCAACAAUGAUGCUGACGCUUGGGAAUUCCACUGAAUAUUUGCUCAGGCUGACACGCAAACACCUUGUAAAAAACAAAUGAUUUGAAUAAAGUUCGUUAUGGACUCCCCACCUGUCCAGUCCAUUUCAGUAUCAGCAUGAGCACUGGCGUUUCACUUAGUUCUGAGUUUAGGCAGUUUCCCCUCAGAGGUCCAGUUUUCAUUAUGAAACCCAAAGGUACCGCCAUCCUCAUUCAAAGGCUCCAAAAAAGCCAUACAUGCCUGAUGGAGGCCAGGAGUCUUUAUUCUGGUUUUGAUUUUGCAAUCUUAAGUGUCUGGCCUAAUAAAAAUUACAUGAAACAAGUAUUAAAUAUUUAACUUUCAUGGAAUAUUAUCAAUCUCC